rnacentral:lncRNA from 1 species
CCAGCCCAGCUCCCCUCCUCCUCUUUUACCUUUUUUUUCCUUUUUCUCCCUGGGCCUCCUUCUCCUUCUGGCCCAUCUCCCAACAGCAGCCCACCUCCCCUUUUCUUUUUCUCCUUUUCUCCUUGGCCGCUCUCUCCUCCUGGCCCAUCUUGUGGCCGAGCAGCCCAAGCCCGACCGAACGAGGCGGUCGUCUUCCUCCUCCCGCACGAAAGGAAAGACGCCCCUGCUGCCAUGAUUCCCUCCUUCGAUUUCCCUCCUUCCCGCACGUUUUUCUUCGAAAGGAAACCACCUCGUCAAUCCCUACAAUCCCGCGAGCCGAUUC